rnacentral:misc_RNA from 1 species
UGCAUCGAACUGCUUCCCUCACUUUCGAUCAAUUGUUGCUCCACGUGCUAAACGUUGGACGCAAGACCCGGGUUCCUGUGUUGCAUACCUAUUGCGACGGAAAUGUGUGCCUUCGAUCGUCCCUUCCAUCACGGCGUCCUCUCGGAUGCUCGGUUGGACCGGAUAGUGGGGCUCGUGUUCCACGAACGUCGUCUCAUUCGAUCGUUCGGAUGGACCACGAGUGCCUACUCGUUCUCUCGGAUGCGGAACUCUCUUAAUGGGUGUGGGGUCAUUGGCCCUUGUUCCCUAAUCGUUAAGCGUUUAUCGCUUCACCGGAAUGACGAUCUCGCCUUGUCCUUGAUCGCGCGAAGCCCUCGGGCAUCGCGACGGAUCAUGCUCGGCGGACGUCGUGAAGGAAUGC